GUAGUCUGCAACCCGACUACAUGAAGCUGGAAUCGCUAGUAAUCGCGGAUCAGAAUGCCGCGGUGAAUACGUUCCCGGGUCUUGUACACACCGCCCGUCACACCAUGGGAGUCGGAAAUGCCCGAAGUCUGUGACCUAACCGAGAGGGAGGAGCAGCCGAAGGCAGGUCUGAUGACUGGGGUGAAGUCGUAACAAGGUAUC
rnacentral:rRNA from 1 species